UAGGGAAUCUUCCGCAAUGGACGAAAGUCUGACGGAGCAACGCCGCGUGAGUGAAGAAGGAUUUCGGUUCGUAAAACUCUGUUGUUAGGGAAGAAAAAAUGUAUAGUAACUAUAUACAAAAGAGACGGUACCUAACCAGAAAGCCAAGGCUAACUACGUGCCAGCAGCCGCGGUAAUACGUAGGUGGCAAGCGUUGUCCGGAAUUAUUGGGCGUAAAGCGCGCGCAGGUGGUUUAGAAAGUAUGAUGUGUAAGCCCACGGCUCAACCGGGGAGGGUCAUUGGAAACUAAUAAACUUGAGUGCAGGCGAGAAAAGUGGAAUUCCUAGUGUAGCGGUGAAAUGAGUAGAGAUUAGGAGGAAGACCGGUGGCGAAAGAGGCUUUUUGGCCUGCAACUGACACUGAGGCGCGAAAGCGUGGGGGGCAAACAGG
rnacentral:rRNA from 1 species